UUUAUAAAUGUUUUAUUUCAGAGGGGGGGCCGCCAACACCUGCUGCCUAAUAAAUACCAUGUAAUGUUAUCCAUCCACACCCAGACUAAAUGAUCAAGCAGCAGCCAUUGCUUUCUUUAAUUAGAGCCAGAGAUCAUGCACAAGCAAGAAGGCCCAGAUGAAGGAGAUCUAUAACAAGGCAGCCAGCUAUUCAAAUGCAAGAAGCAUCCCUUAAAUGCAAGGCAAGGCUCUCCAAAAAAAAAAGAAAAGAAAAGAGCAGAGGGUGAGAAAAAAAUCUAGCCGAGUGCUUUAUUCUUCCUAUUAUUUCAAUACACAUCUGUUUACUUCUUAUUUGCACUGGAUGCAGGAUCCUUAAGACUUAAAGAAGGCAGGUAAAGAAAAUGGAUGUCUUUAGCUUUGGAAAUAAGGAUGGUGGAUUUAUAAUGCAGAGAUGAUUGGAGAAGAUGCUGCCUGGAAAUGGAUACUAUCUCGAUCUUGGAGGAGAGAGAACAUCAGCCUCCAGAUGGAAGGAGAAUAUGGCAUUUUGGGCUGUGCCUCUGGUCUCAGGCUGCAAUGAGUGACAGAUUUAGAUAUAUUUGUGGAUGGGCAAGUUUGCAAGAAACCUCGAGCUAAGGGAGGCAAAAAUCCAUGUGUCCAGCUGGCAGCUGUUGGCUUUUGGAGUCUUCACGCGUCACCUUUGACAUGUUGCCUUUUGGGGGCGAGCAGAGACCUCCAUCCACUGACCAGUGCAAGCUGUCACCUACAACACAAGGCAGCAAGAGAGGGGGAUAUGGGGGCGUCAGCAGCCCCUCACCGAAAUCACCUCUUAUCAUACUUUGUGUUCAGAUCUUGCUGCUUAGUCUUUUAUAGGUAAAGAGGCGGGGGAUGGGUU